GACGAACGCUGGCGGCGUGCUUAACACAUGCAAGUCGAACGAAGAGCGAUGGAAGCUUGCUUCUAUCAAUCUUAGUGGCGAACGGGUGAGUAACGCGUAAUCAACCUGCCCUUCAGAGGGGGACAACAGUUGGAAACGACUGCUAAUACCGCAUACGAUCUAAUCUCGGCAUCGAGGAUAGAUGAAAGGUGGCCUCUACAUGUAAGCUAUCACUGAAGGAGGGGAUUGCGUCUGAUUAGCUAGUUGGAGGGGUAACGGCCCACCAAGGCGAUGAUCAGUAGCCGGUCUGAGAGGAUGAACGGCCACAUUGGGACUGGGACACGGCCCAGACUCCUACGGGAGGCAGCAGUGGGGAAUCUUCCGCAAUGGACGAAAGUCUGACGGAGCAACGCCGCGUGAGUGAUGACGGCCUUCGGGUUGUAAAGCUCUGUUAAUCGGGACGAAAGGCCUUCUUGCGAACAGUUAGAAGGAUUGACGGUACCGGAAUAGAAAGCCACGGCUAACUACGUG
rnacentral:rRNA from 1 species